rnacentral:rRNA from 1 species
GAUGAACGCUGGCGGCGUGCCUAAUACAUGCAAGUCGAGCGAAUUGACAGAGGUGCUUGCACCUCUCGAUUUUAGCGGCGGACGGGUGAGUAACACGUGGGUAACCUACCUAUAAGACUGGGAUAACUUCGGGAAACCGGAGCUAAUACCGGAUAAUCUUUAGCUUCGCAUGAAGCAAUAGUGAAAGACGGUUCUGCUGUCACUUAUAGAUGGACCUGCGGUGUAUUAGCUAGUUGGUGAGGUAACGGCUCACCAAGGCAACGAUACAUAGCCGACCUGAGAGGGUGAUCGGCCACACUGGGACUGAGACGCGGCCCAGACUCCUACGGGAGGCAGCAGUAGGGAAUCUUCCGCAAUGGACGAAAGUCUGACGGAGCAACGCCGCGUGAGUGAAGAAGGUUUUCGGAUCGUAAAACUCUGUUGUAAGGGAAGAACAAGUACGUUAGUAACUGAACGUACCUUGACGGUACCUUACCAGAAAGCCACGGCUAACUACGUGCCAGCCGCCGCCGUAACAC